GAUGUACCCAGAAUCAUAUGGCUCCCUGAUGAUCCAUGCAGUUUGAUCAGGGUUGACACAGUUGCUCAAUGAUGGAGUAAGCAAACAGAUUAAAACAGUAUCAGUUGACUGAAAUUGAAAUUGGGAAUCCAAAACAACAAGUUGCUCUUCAGCUACACCCUACUUCAAUGUUGCAAGAUAUGGCUCUAACCGAGGAAGAAACAUGUCACCUAUUUCCCCUUUUUCCUUGAGAGAAAAAAAGCAGCACCUUCCCACCCCACCUACCAGGAUCAAGCAUUGUAUCACAGCAUGG